rnacentral:rRNA from 1 species
GACGAACGCUGGCGGCGUGCUUAACACAUGCAAGUGGAACGGAAAGGCCCUGCUUUUGUGGGGUGCUCGAGUGGCGAACGGGUGAGUAACACGUGAGUAACCUGCCCUUGACUUUGGGAUAACUUCAGGAAACUGGGGCUAAUACCGGAUAGGAGCUCCUGCUGCAUGGUGGGGGUUGGAAAGUUUCGGCGGUUGGGGAUGGACUCGCGGCUUAUCAGCUUGUUGGUGGGGUAGUGGCUUACCAAGGCUUUGACGGGUAGCCGGCCUGAGAGGGUGACCGGCCACAUUGGGACUGAGAUACGGCCCAGACUCCUACGGGAGGCAGCAGUGGGGAAUAUUGCACGAUGGGCGGAAGCCUGAUGCAGCAACGCCGCGUGCGGGAUGACGGCCUUCGGGUUGUAAACCGCUUUCGCCUGUGACGAAGCGUGAGUGACGGUAAUGGGUAAAGAAGCACCGGCUAACUACGUG